rnacentral:rRNA from 1 species
CGUCUACGAGUUUGAUCCUGGCUCAGAACGAACGCUGGCGGCAGGCCUAACACAUGCAAGUCGAGCGCCCCGCAAGGGGAGCGGCGGACGGGUGAGUAACGCGUGGGAACGUACCCUUUGCUACGGAAUAGCCUCGGGAAACUGGGAGUAAUACCGUAUGUGCCCUUCGGGGGAAAGAUUUAUCGGCAAAGGAUCGGCCCGCGUUGGAUUAGGUAGUUGGUGGGGUAAUGGCCUACCAAGCCGACGAUCCAUAGCUGGUUUGAGAGGAUGAUCAGCCACACUGGGACUGAGACACGGCCCAGACUCCUACGGGAGGCAGCAGUGGGGAAUCUUAGACAAUGGGCGCAAGCCUGAUCUAGCCAUGCCGCGUGAGCGAUGAAGGCCCUUAGGGUUGUAAAGCUCUUUUCAGUGGGGAAGAUAAUGACUGUACCCACAGAAGAAGCCCCGGCUAACUCCGUG